GAUGAACGCUGGCGGCGUGCCUAAUACAUGCAAGUCGAGCGAAGCGGGGACGGGUGAGUAACAUGUGGAUAACCUCAUAUAAGACUGGGAUAACUCAGGAAAACCGGAGCUAAACCGGAUACUUAUCGAUGGAUCCGCGCUGCAUUGGCUGGUUGGUAAUGUAACGGCUUACCAAGGCAACGAUGCAUGGCCGACCUGAGAGGAUGAUCGGCCACACUGGAACUUAGACACGGUCCAGACUCCUACGGUAGGCAGCAGUAGGGAAUCUUCCGCAAUGGGCGAAAGCCUGACGGAGCAAUGCCGCGUGAGUGAUGAAGGUCUUCGGGUCGUAAAACUCUGUUAUUAGGGAAGCGUUACCUAAUCAGAAAGCCACGGCUAACUACGUGCCAGCAGCCGCGGUAAUAC
rnacentral:rRNA from 1 species